rnacentral:rRNA from 1 species
GAUGAACGCUGGCGGCGUGCCUAAUACAUGCAAGUCGAGCGAACAGACGAGGAGCUUGCUCCUCUGACGUUAGCGGCGGACGGGUGAGUAACACGUGGAUAACCUACCUAUAAGACUGGGAUAACUUCGGGAAACCGGAGCUAAUACCGGAUAAUAUAUUGAACCGCAUGGUUCAAUAGUGAAAGACGGUUUUGCUGUCACUUAUAGAUGGAUCCGCGCCGCAUUAGCUAGUUGGUAAGGUAACGGCUUACCAAGGCAACGAUGCGUAGCCGACCUGAGAGGGGAGACGCCACAACGGAAACUAAACCCGGCCCAAAACCCCUAGGGGAGGCAGAAGUAGGAAUUCUCCGGAAAGGGGCAAAAGCCGGAAGGAGAAAGGCCGGGGGAGGAAGAAGGUUCUAGGAAUAGAAAAACUUUUUUAUAAGGGAAAAAAAAAGGUGAAAGUAACAAGGCCCGUCUGGAGGUAACAAAAUAAGAAGACCAGGGAAAACACGGGG